rnacentral:lncRNA from 1 species
AUGAUUUAUACCUAUGAUGAUAAUAAGUUUGUGGAGGAGAGGCUUUGGAUGUACUUGCAUUGAAGCACAAAGACAGCAAAGAUUUCUUCAAGACAGGGUAAUUGACAAUCCCAUUGUCCCACAUCCACUCCCAUUGUCCCACAUCGACCAGUUGAUGAAAGGAGGAGACCGGAGCUAUGUAUAAAAUAGUCAGCCCAAAACAAGAAUAAGCAUACCUUUCUCGGCCUUUUGGCUAAGAUCAAGUGUAGUAUCUGUUCUUAUCAGUUUAAUAUCUGAUACGUGGGUCAAUGGUCCACACGAUAUUAAAUUAAUUUCUUUAGGGGGAGAGCUCACCACAGUAGCUUGCUAUUGGAGCUCUCAAGCGUCGCCCAAGCGUUGCACUAUUGCAUGGGCCUGGCGCACCCCACCAAAUCGAGUCUAAGCUUUUUAUGGCCUUGCCCAAAGUGUUGUUCAUAAUUUAAAUCGUUGCCCAGCCCAAGCCCCUUAAAAAUUAACGUUGUAAUGCAAAUUCCAAAAAUUAAGGUUGAUAGACUCCCCGUAGGCCAUGAAAUUCUGGUCAUUUUGUUUAUAGUUGUAAAUUGUAAUGCAAAUCAUUUUAUAAGAUUACUUUUCCC